AACGCGAAAGAACCUUACCUGGGCUUGUCAUCUAUGGAACCUUCUGGAAACAGGAGGGUGCCUUCGGGAGCCAUAAGACAGGUGGUGCACGGUGGUCGUCAGCUCGUGUCGUGAGAUGUUGGGUUAAGUCCCGCAACGAGCGCAACCCUCGUGGUCUGUUGUUACAGGUCGAAAGAUGCUGAACCCUCAGNCCAGACUGCCGGNGACAAACCGGAGGAAGGUGGGGAUGACGUCAAAUCAUCACGCCCCUUAUGUCCAGGGCUACACACGUGUUACAAUGGGAAGCGGACAAUGGNCAGCUUGGCAGCGAUGUNUGGCAAAUCCUUAAACCGCCCCUCAGUUCGGAUCGUAGUCUGCAACUCGACUCCGNGAAGUCGGAAUCGCUAGUAAGCGCAGGGUCUUGUACACACCG
rnacentral:rRNA from 1 species